AGCUGAGUCUGGAGAAUUGCUUGGUGGUACAGGAGCCCCGCCCACAUUGGAAACCAGGUUCUUCUUACUGGUCCAAGAAUUACAUUGGCAUGAGACAGAAUAACAGAAGAAAACCAAACAAUUUUAAUAGCAUGUACAUGUGGGAGAAACCCAGGAAAACUGAGAAGAUUAGCCCUGAGCUAACUGCUGCCAAUCUCCCUCUUUUUGCUGAGGAAGACUGGCCCUGAGCUAAUAUCCAUGCCCAUCUUCCUCUACUUUAUAUGUGGGACGCCUGACACAGCAUGGCUUGACAAGUGGUGCUAUGUCUGCAUCCAGCUUCAAACCGGCGAACCUCAGGCCUCCGAAGCGGAACGUGCGAACUUAACCACUGCACCACUGGGCCGGCCCCCAAAAUGGCUAAUCUUUUAUUUAAACUGUUGCAUCUAUACACUUGGUUCAAAUUGUAGUUUAGUCCAUAUU
rnacentral:lncRNA from 1 species